rfam:Felis catus isolate Cinnamon breed Abyssinian chromosome D2, whole genome shotgun sequence.
GCCUGGGUGGUUCAGUCGGUUAAACGUCCGACUUCGGCUCGGGUCAUGAUCCCCCGGUACGUGGGUUCGAGCCCCGCAUUGGGCU